CCUGUAAUAUCGACCUUGAUCAAGUUCGGCCUUCGCUCCAGCAUCCCCUUAAGGCACCAGCGAAAUAUAACUCACAGAAUAACGGCCCGUAUGCAGUUUAUGUCUAUGACAUGAAUCGUGAAAAAUCAACACACCCCACGAUAAUUUCCAGUAUCACAAUGAAACCAGGUAUUCCGGAUGUAUAGGAAAUCAAGAAAAUAGGUAAAGGAAAAAUACUCAUAGAAGCAAAAACUGCAUUGGCUGCAAAUAGCAUUCCGAGUUUUAAGAUUGGGAGUCAUACAAGAUGUUCCAAUUGAAAUUGACUUGGAAGCUUGAAUUGGAAGCUGUCCUUAGACACAUUGAAGUUCCUCGUAAUAGUAAAAUUCUGGACAUCCAUAGACUCAACAGGACAACCAAAGACGGCAAAACUGAAUAUAUAUCCUCAAAGACACUGCGUAUAAAAUUUGCAGGCCAGAUUUUGCCGCGUGAAAUAUUCUCGUUUAAGACUAGGCAUGAAGUACGUCCUUUCAUCCCGAAGCCUCGCAUCUGCUUUGCCUGCUAUAGAGUUGGACACAUUGCAAAAGUGUGCAAGAAUUAGCCAAGAUGCCUUUAUUGUGGGAGCAAUAGACACGAAGCGGGAGCCGAGCUCUUGUUCUGGAAGUGUAGAGGAUGAUAAGUGCAUUAACUGCAAAAGUAAUCACCUCGCAACUUCCAAGGAAUGCCUAAUGGUUUUGAAGCAGGAUCAAAUUAUUAACUUGGCUGUCACCGAAAACAUCCCCAUCGCAAAUGCUAGAAGAAUCAUUAAUGAUAAUAGCAGAUAUUCUUCCCAAAGCAGGCCUAGAAUUUAAUAAUUGGAUUUAAAUAGUUUCUCAUAUUUAAGAAGGAAACCUAACUUUAGUUCUCCGGAACUGUCAAGUUUUGAAAGCUCUAACUCUUUCAAUAUUUUAGGUUCGGACGACUAUGGAGGAGAAUACUUAUGCAAAUAUCACCAGUUCGAGUCCAAAAUCGCGCACUGAUUCCGGUAGCGGACUCAACAAGAACCGUUCAUCUCCCUACGCGGGCCCCUUCCAGUCCUUCGCCUUCUCGCAGAAACUCCAGUCAAUAACAUCUUAAUAACGCAGAUUAUGAUAGAAGCACAUCAAAAUGCGCUCUAUGAUUAUCAAAGAGGAGAGCCCAAGGUAACCUGGCAUCCCUGCAGAUCCUCUCUCAAGAUCAUAACGUGAUUUGUGUUCAGAAGUCUUUGCUUAAGCCAGGUGACUAUCUGAAAAUCAAAUCUUUUAACGCCGUUAGGGCAGAUGUCACGCAAACGGGACACAGUGGUGUCUAUACCUGGAUUCGGAAGAACAUCAAGUUUGAAGCCAUUCAUUUAGACAACGAUUUGAUCAUGCAUCCGUGGAAGUCAUCAAGUCAUUAAACUCUACUCUACUCUCAAGUCAUUAACUCUUGUAAAGACCCUAUCAUUUUAGUAAAUAUCUAUAGACACCUAGGUCAAGACACUCCUCCCAUAUUCUAUCUGAAUUUAUUUAAUGCCUUGGCAGAAUACAAUCAAGUUUUGUUCGUAAGAGAUUUCAACGCUCAUCACACUUGGAGCGCGCCUUUUAAUCGGGUAAGAGGUUAAUGAAGGCCAUUAAAGACAACGAUUUUGUAAUUCUUAAUGAUGGUUCUCCUACCCUCGUACAUAUUUCUGCUCGCAAAUCAGUCAUUGACCUCGCAUUAGUUUCUCCUCUUCUUGCUCCCCUGUGUA